AGCAUGGUGUUGGGGUCGAGCUGGUACGACUUCUUCCAGAGACACCAGCACCACACAUAAACAAUGUUUUUGCUGAAAAUUUGGGACAAGAAGUUAUGGUGACAAUGGAUAUAGAAACUACUCCAGUAAUGCAGAUGAAAGCAUAUAGGCUUAAAUCAGGAAAGACCGAAACAUCACACUACAGAGUCAAUGUAAAUCGUUUCCGAGGUAGACUCAGUGCCAAAAUGGACAGACACCACUUGAAAGGAGAAAU